UCCAUAUCAUGGGAGCAAAAAACAAGGG
rnacentral:piRNA from 1 species